AGAGUUUGAUCCUGGCUCAGAAGGAACGCUGGCAGCGUGCAUAACACAUGCAAGUCGAACGAUGAAGCAUUCUUCGGAAUGUGGAAGAGUGGCGAACGGGUGAGGAACACGUAAGAAUCUGCCCCUCGGUCGGGGACAACUUUUGGAAACGAAAGCUAAUACCCGAUACGCUGUGGAGUGAAAGAAUUUCGCCGAGGGAUGAUCUUGCGUCUGAUUAGCUAGUUGGUGCGGUAAUGGCGCACCAAGGCGACGAUCAGUAGCUGGUCUGAGAGGAUGAACAGCCACAUUGGAACUGAGACACGGUCCAAACUCCUACGGGAGGCAGCAGUGGGGAAUUUUCCGCAAUGGACGAAAGUCUGACGGAGCGACGCUGCGUGAAGGAUGACGGCCUGCGGGUUGUAAACUUCUUUUCUCGAAGAAGAAGCUCUGACGGUAUUCGAGGAAUAAGCAUCGGCUAACUCCGUGCCAGCAGCCGCGGUAAGACGGAGGAUGCAAGUGUUAAUCGGAAUUACUGGGCGUAAAGCGUGCGUAGGCGGUUUAUUAAGUCAGAUGUGAAAGCCCCGGGCUUAACCUGGGAACUGCAUUUGAAACUGGUCAACUAGAGUAUGGUAGAGGAAAGUGGAAUUUCUGGUGUAGCGGUGAAAUGCGUAGAUAUCAGAAGGAACACCAAUGGCGAAAGCACUCUACUAGGCUUUUACUGACACUCAGAGACGAAAGCUAGGGUAGCAAAUGGGAUUAGAUACCCCAGUAGUCCUAGCCGUAAACGAUGGAUACUAAACAUUGCGUGCAUCGAUCCGCGUGGUGUUAUAGCUAACGCGUUAAGUAUCCCGCCUGGGGAGUACGACCGCAAGGUUAAAACUCAAAUGAAUUGACGGGGACCCGCACAAGUAGUGGAGCAUGUGGUUUAAUUCGAAGAUACGCGCAGAACCUUACCAACACUUGACAUGUUCGUCGCGACUCUAAGAGAUUAGAGUCUUCGGUUCGGCCGGACGAAACACAGGUGCUGCAUGGCUGUCGUCAGCUCGUGUCGUGAGAUGUUGGGUUAAGUCCCGCAACGAGCGCAACCCCUAUUUUUAGUUGCUACCAUUUAGUUGGGCACUCUAAAAAAACUGCCAGUGAUAAACUGGAGGAAGGCGGGGAUGACGUCAAGUCCUCAUGGCCCUUACGUGUUGGGCUACACACGUGCUACAAUGGUACUUACAGUGAGAUGCGAAGAGGCGACUCCUAGCCAAUCCCCAAAAAGUACCUCAGUUCGGAUUGUACUCUGCAACUCGAGUACAUGAAGCUGGAAUUACUAGUAAUCGUGGAUCAGCGCGCCACGGUGAAUACGUUCCCGGGUCUUGUACACACCGCCCGUCACACCAUGGAAGUUGGUUACACCUUAAGGCAAAGCAUAAAACCUUUGACUACGGUACGAUCAGCGACUGGGGUGAAGUCGUAACAAGGUAACC
rnacentral:rRNA from 1 species